GGUUAAGCGACUAAGCGUACACGGUGGAUGCCCUGGCAGUCAGAGGCGAUGAAGGGCGUGCUAAUCUGCGAUAAGCGCCGGUAAGGUGAUAUGAACCGUUAUAACCGGCGAUACCCGAAUGGGGAAACCCAGUGUGACUCGUCACACUAUCAUUAACUGAAUCCAUAGGUUAAUGAGGCGAACCGGGGGAACUGAAACAUCUAAGUACCCCGAGGAAAAGAAAUCAACCGAGAUUCCCCCAGUAGCGGCGAGCGAACGGGGAGGAGCCCAGAGCCUGAAUCAGCAUGUGUGUUAGUGGAAGCGUCUGGAAAGGCGCGCGAUACAGGGUGACAGCCCCGUACACAAAAGCGCAUGUGCUGUGAGCUCGAUGAGUAGGGCGGGACACGUGGUAUCCUGUCUGAAUAUGGGGGGACCAUCCUCCAAGGCUAAAUACUCCUGACUGACCGAUAGUGAACCAGUACCGUGAGGGAAAGGCGAAAAGAACCCCGGCGAGGGGAGUGAAAAAGAACCUGAAACCGUGUACGUACAAGCAGUGGGAGCACCCUUUGGGUGUGACUGCGUACCUUUUGUAUAAUGGGUCAGCGACUUAUAUUCUGUAGCAAGGUUAACCGAAUAGGGGAGCCGGAGGGAAACCGAGUCUUAACCGGGCGUUAAGUUGCAGGGUAUAGACCCGAAACCCGGUGAUCUAGCCAUGGGCAGGUUGAAGGUUGGGUAACACUAACUGGAGGACCGAACCGACUAAUGUUGAAAAAUUAGCGGAUGACCUGUGGCUGGGGGUGAAAGGCCAAUCAAACCGGGAGAUAGCUGGUUCUCCCCGAAAGCUAUUUAGGUAGCGCCUCGUGAAUUCAUCUCCGGGGGUAGAGCACUGUUUCGGCUAGGGGGCCAUCCCGGCUUACCAACCCGAUGCAAACUGCGAAUACCGGAGAAUGUUAUCACGGGAGACACACGGCGGGUGCUAACGUCCGUCGUGAAGAGGGAAACAACCCAGACCGCCAGCUAAGGUCCCAAAGUCAUGGUUAAGUGGGAAACGAUGUGGGAAGGCCCAGACAGCCAGGAUGUUGGCUUAGAAGCAGCCAUCAUUUAAAGAAAGCGUAAUAGCUCACUGGUCGAGUCGGCCUGCGCGGAAGAUGUAACGGGGCUAAACCAUGCACCGAAGCUGCGGCAGCGACACUGUGUGUUGUUGGGUAGGGGAGCGUUCUGUAAGCCUGCGAAGGUGGCCUGUGAGGGUUGCUGGAGGUAUCAGAAGUGCGAAUGCUGACAUAAGUAACGAUAAAGCGGGUGAAAAGCCCGCUCGCCGGAAGACCAAGGGUUCCUGUCCAACGUUAAUCGGGGCAGGGUGAGUCGACCCCUAAGGCGAGGCCGAAAGGCGUAGUCGAUGGGAAACGGGUUAAUAUUCCCGUACUUGGUGUUACUGCGAAGGGGGGACGGAGAAGGCUAUGUUGGCCGGGCGACGGUUGUCCCGGUUUAAGCGUGUAGGUGUGUGUUCCAGGUAAAUCCGGUUCACUUUAACACUGAGGCGUGACGACGAGGCACUACGGUGCUGAAGCAACAAAUGCCCUGCUUCCAGGAAAAGCCUCUAAGCAUCAGGUAACAUCAAAUCGUACCCCAAACCGACACAGGUGGUCAGGUAGAGAAUACCAAGGCGCUUGAGAGAACUCGGGUGAAGGAACUAGGCAAAAUGGUGCCGUAACUUCGGGAGAAGGCACGCUGACACGUAGGUGAAGUGAUUUACUCAUGGAGCUGAAGUCAGUCGAAGAUACCAGCUGGCUGCAACUGUUUAUUAAAAACACAGCACUGUGCAAACACGAAAGUGGACGUAUACGGUGUGACGCCUGCCCGGUGCCGGAAGGUUAAUUGAUGGGGUCAGCGCAAGCGAAGCUCCUGAUCGAAGCCCCGGUAAACGGCGGCCGUAACUAUAACGGUCCUAAGGUAGCGAAAUUCCUUGUCGGGUAAGUUCCGACCUGCACGAAUGGCGUAAUGAUGGCCAGGCUGUCUCCACCCGAGACUCAGUGAAAUUGAACUCGCUGUGAAGAUGCAGUGUACCCGCGGCAAGACGGAAAGACCCCGUGAACCUUUACUAUAGCUUGACACUGAACAUUGAGCCUUGAUGUGUAGGAUAGGUGGGAGGCUUUGAAGUGUGGACGCCAGUCUGCAUGGAGCCGACCUUGAAAUACCACCCUUUAAUGUUUGAUGUUCUAACGUGGACCCGUUACCCGGGUUGCGGACAGUGUCUGGUGGGUAGUUUGACUGGGGCGGUCUCCUCCUAAAGAGUAACGGAGGAGCACGAAGGUUGGCUAAUCCUGGUCGGACAUCAGGAGGUUAGUGCAAUGGCAUAAGCCAGCUUGACUGCGAGCGUGACGGCGCGAGCAGGUGCGAAAGCAGGUCAUAGUGAUCCGGUGGUUCUGAAUGGAAGGGCCAUCGCUCAACGGAUAAAAGGUACUCCGGGGAUAACAGGCUGAUACCGCCCAAGAGUUCAUAUCGACGGCGGUGUUUGGCACCUCGAUGUCGGCUCAUCACAUCCUGGGGCUGAAGUAGGUCCCAAGGGUAUGGCUGUUCGCCAUUUAAAGUGGUACGCGAGCUGGGUUUAGAACGUCGUGAGACAGUUCGGUCCCUAUCUGCCGUGGGCGCUGGAGAACUGAGGGGGGCUGCUCCUAGUACGAGAGGACCGGAGUGGACGCAUCACUGGUGUUCGGGUUGUCAUGCCAAUGGCACUGCCCGGUAGCUAAAUGCGGAAGAGAUAAGUGCUGAAAGCAUCUAAGCACGAAACUUGCCCCGAGAUGAGUUCUCCCUGAGACUUAGAGUCUCCUGAAGGAACGUUGAAGACGACGACGUUGAUAGGCCGGGUGUGUAAGCGCAGCGAUGCGUUGAGCUAACCGGUACUAAUGAACCGUGAGGCUUAACCUUACAACGCCGAAGAUGUUUUG
rnacentral:rRNA from 1 species